AAAUGGAGCCGUGUCAAUUUAUCCCAGUUGAGGAUCUGACCAAGGAUCACAACUGGCAUUAAUUAGCAGAUGUGUUAUCAGACUCCGCGGAGAUGCCCCGGGUUGAGUGACGGCAGGCCAACACCAUGCACGGUGCAGGCAGGUGGGAGCUCCAGGUCCUCCCUACAGGCACAUUGGUGGCUUCUACUGCUGCAUGGCAUGGCCAUGCCACCAGCCUUCGUGAGAAGGACCUCCACAGCAGGGUGCAGCCAGUCAUAUUAGAGCCCAAGCAAUGCAAGGCAGCUACUAAAAAUCAGGGAGGGGGGAAAAGGAAAGAGGUGUAGUGCUGGAAUGAGUCACCCUGGAGCUCGGUGUGCAUGAGACUGCUCUGCUAGUUCUAAAUGAAACCACUGACUGAUAUUCUGGGGGUACGCAUGCACCAUCUGAGCUAAUACUAGUGCUGGCUGCACAUGCGUGACAGAAGGGUGAAGGAGAUGCUGCUGAAAAUACAGGUACCCAAAGGCCACAGAACAAACCUGGUCCUCACAUUGCUCAGGGAGUAAUAUCCUCAGCCUUCACCAGCUACUGAUACUCUUUACAAAGUGGCUCAAGUUCACAGACCUCAUGCUUUUUAAUGCACUUGAAAACAUCUUCUUCUCGCUCUAAGACUUUUUUACUGUAACCCAGGAAAUGGAAAGAACAGGAGAGUGGAAGUUCAGUAGUAGCAGGAACACAGAAGUCAUAAGGCUGACCUAGACAAUGGGAAGAUGCAGAAUAUUUUAGUAACGUGCUGUAGUAACUGUCACCUGCAAAAUGUCCAUCAGCACUUCUGCAAAUUCUUUCCACCAUUCUCAACAAGAUAACAAAAGAUAACUUUUCGGACCACAAAGCUGAAACACUUCCUGUGACUCAAAUGGCUCCAGCACAGCUAUUUCCUAGAAGACAUCCUCCCUGAUUUCUUGUGGUGCCUGUUAGAUUGCUGAAGUUGCAGUGCAGAGAUAAACCAGAUACCAGAAUAGAGGAACGUUUCUCAGAAGGACCAGUGAGACAUCUCCUGACCUCUGUCUCCAUCUGAGGAUAUAUCUGGAGUAGAGCAGAGAAGCAGAGGCACCACAGACUACAGAUACCCAUGGGGAAUGUUGUUCUGCCUCAAGGUUCAGCUCUACAAUAUGGCCAUGGACCGUAUAUACCCAUAGGUUCCUGUGAGUGGGUGAAGUGGGUGAGGGUUUAGACAGAGGCUGGGAUGAGUCUGAAGGGAUGCUGAUCUGGGUGGUGGGGGACUGGGACUCCAUGGCAUACUGUCACAAAUCAAAAGAUAAGUCUAGUUACAGCCAUUCAGCCUUUGAUUUUCUCGCCUUCCUCCUAAACUAUUUUCCCAAGAACUUAUUUGUCUCAGUCUGCGUUUUCCUUAUCUGCAGACAGGGCUAUGAGGCAUACCAUACUACAAUGAAUAUGGGUACUCACUCCAUGCUGGGCUGUGGGAGAAAGUUUUGCACAGCUCUAGUAAAACAGGUGAACAGCUACAGGUUUGAAAAGCCUCCUAGCCUUCCCUGAACCUCAAAAGGCCCAGUGUAGGAUUCCUCACCCAUCCUGAUUAUCCAUAAGUAGAUCAGACAGCAUCUCAUUUCCUAGACACAAACAUUCAGCGGUGUUCUGCAGUUGCUUCAAGAGUAAAGAAAAUUCCUCCUGGCUCCUACUGAGCAGUCACUGGCAUUGGUCAACCAUAGCACACCUUGUCUUUGCCAGAAGCCAGUAUCAGACAAUAUGAAAGGGAACUGCCCCCUCCUUCCUGUGUAUGUAAAUGUAUAACAGUUUACCACGGAAGAUGAUGCCUUUCUGACUCCAUCUACUGACUAGCUUUUACCAAGAACUACUGACACUAUUACAUAAUACUUGUUAGUAAAACUCUCACAGAUUUUUUCAAGGCCAGGAACAACCAUUAUUAUCAUCCAGUCUGAUCUUCUGCAUAAUAUAUGCUACUGAAUUUAACCCAAUCUGAACUUGGUGUGUAGAUUUGCUUUUAUGUCUCAAAAUGCCUCCUCAUUUACAAAUAUGAUACUGUUUCACCGAGUACUAUCUGUGCAGCAGCAAGUUCCAUUAAUUAACUGUACAUUGUUUGGAAAAGCAAUACCUCUUAUCCGUUUGAAAUUCGAUACCUCUUCGUUUCACCUUGCAGGAUAGGAAAGGGUUUUUAUUCCUUUGCUGCUAAUUAGGUUGGAGGAUCAUGAGGACAAAAUGUUAUUUAUAUUAUAGUCGUGCUUAAGGAGAGCUCUGAUGAAGCCUGGGGAUCCCACUGCACAAAGUGAGGGAGACCGUGCAAUUCCUUCAGGACUGAGACUAUUUGAAUGGACGAAUGGCAUAUUUUCAAAGGAGCUGAACGAUUUCACCAAAACGAAUGUCAGACAAGUCAAUGGAUUCAUACUUCUCAAUCACCUAUACAUUUCUAAAAAAUCAAUCCAAAGUUUGAAGGAAAGAAAGGCAUGGAAAAACAAAGUCCCUGAAGCCAAGAUCAAGAAAUAAGUUUGGUAUGUAGUCAGUGAAAAGAAAAACGUGUUGCUAAUAUGCAGCUCUGUGUCCACUGUCCAUAGGUCACUUUGGCUUCCAGAGGCUCAUGGUCUUAAAGUCCUCCCUUUAAGAGAGCAGGGUGCACUGGGCAAAGUACAAUGUCUGCUGCAUGCACAGUCCCCAGUUCUUUUGCCCUGGGGCCAAGGACAGCUACAUUAUCUCAGGCAACAGCGGUUAUCCAAGUUUAUGGAAAGGGUUCACGUAAGAUUUGCAGUCCCAUGAGGGUCAGUCUGCCUUGAGAGAUAGGCUGGGGUUUGUGUUCUCUCUCUCUUCUCAAGGAAAUUCCCCAUCCUUUUGACUUCUAUCUUUUUUUAUUGCCAUUCUCUGGACUUCUUCUAUUUCUACUUUCUUUUUUACAGGGAUGAGGUG
rnacentral:lncRNA from 1 species